GUGCUUGCUUUGGCAGCACAGAUACUAAAAUUGGAACGAUACAGAGAAGAUUAGCAUGGCCCCUGUGCAAGGAUGACAUGCAAAUUCGUGAAGCGUUCCAUAUAUUU
rnacentral:snRNA from 1 species